rnacentral:tRNA from 1 species
GGGAGAUGGCCGAGCGGUCAAUGGCAGCAGACUGUAAAUCUGCCGGCGAACGCCUACGGAGGUUCGAAUCCUUCUCUCCCC